UGGAUCCAGACUUUGAUUAUGGCUCAGGAUGAACGCUAGCUACAGGCUUAACACAUGCAAGUCGAGGGGAAACGAUAUUGGAAGCUUGCUUCCGACAGGCGUCGACCGGCGCACGGGUGAGUAACGCGUAUCCAACCUGCCCAUCACUUGGGGAUAACCUUGCGAAAGUAAGACUAAUACCCAAUGAUAUCUCAAGAAGACAUCUGAAUGAGAUUAAAGAUUUAUCGGUGAUGGAUGGGGAUGCGUCUGAUUAGCUUGUUGGCGGGGUGACGGCCCACCAAGGCGACGAUCAGUAGGGGUUCUGAGAGGAGGGUCCCCCACAUUGGAACUGAGACACGGUCCGAACUCCUACGGGAGGCAGCAGUGAGGAAUAUUGGUCAAUGGGCGAGAGCCUGAACCAGCCAAGUAGCGUGCAGGAUGACGGCCCUAUGGGUUGUAAACUGCUUUUAUAAGGGAAUAAAGUGAGCCUCGUGAGGCUUUUUGCAUGUACCUUAUGAAUAAGGACCGGCUAAUUCCGUGCCAGCAGCCGCGGUAAUACGGAAGGUCCGGGCGUUAUCCGGAUUUAUUGGGUUUAAAGGGAGCGUAGGCCGGAGAUUAAGCGUGUUGUGAAAUGUAGAUGCUCAACAUCUGCACUGCGGCGCGAACUGGUUUCCUUGAGUACGCACAAAGUGGGCGGAAUUCGUGGUGUAGCGGUGAAAUGCUUAGAUAUCACGAAGAACUCCGAUUGCGAAGGCAGCUCACUGGAGCGCAACUGACGCUGAAGCUCGAAAGUGCGGGUAUCGAACAGGAUUAGAUACCCUGGUAGUCCGCACGGUAAACGAUGGAUGCCCGCUGUUGGUCUGAAUAGGUCAGCGGCCAAGCGAAAGCAUUAAGCAUCCCACCUGGGGAGUACGCCGGCAACGGUGCAACUCAAAUGAAUUGACGGA
rnacentral:rRNA from 1 species